rnacentral:rRNA from 1 species
AGAACGAACGCUGGCGGCAUGCCUAAUACAUGCAAGUCGAACGAACACUUCGGUGUUAGUGGCGCACGGGUGCGUAGCGCGUGGGAAUCUGCCCUUGGGUUCGGAAUAACAGUUGGAAACGACUGCUAAUACCGGAUGAUAUCGAAAGAUCAAAGAUUUAUCGCCCAGGGAUGAGCCCGCGUAGGAUUAGCUAGUUGGUGAGGUAAAGGCUCACCAAGGCGACGAUCCUUAGCUGGUCUGAGAGGAUGAUCAGCCACACUGGGACUGAGACACGGCCCAGACCUCCGUACGGGAGGCAGCAGUAGGGAAUAGUGGACAAGUGGGCGCAAGCCUGAUCCAGCAAGUCGCCGCGUGAGUGAUGGAAGGUCGUUAGGGUUAGUAAGUCUUCGUUUACCGAGAGUAG